ensembl:snRNA U6 U6 spliceosomal RNA
GUGCUUGCUUCGGCAGCACAUAUACUAAAAUUGGAAUGAUACAAAAAAGACUAGCAUGACCCCUGCGCAAGGAUGACACGCAAAUUCCUGAAGAAUUCCAUGUUAAA